CUCCUACGGGAGGCAGCAGUGGGGAAUUUUGGACAAUGGGCGCAAGCCUGAUCCAGCCAUGCCGCGUGCGGGAAGAAGGCCUUCGGGUUGUAACCCGCUUUUGUCAGGGAAGAAAAGGUUCUGGCUAAUACCUGGGACUCAUGACGGUACCUGAAGAAUAAGCACCGGCUAACUACGUGCCAGCAGCCGCGGUAAUA
rnacentral:rRNA from 1 species